ensembl:lncRNA AC095078.1
CUGCAGCAGUCGUUUAGGUAAAGAAAAACGAACCAGGAAGAAAAGGAAACCAAGUGAAAGAGGGAACUGCAGCACAAGCAGCACAAACCAGUUUGCAAAAGGCAGUCCAGAGAAAGAGACUGUGAGCACCAGGAGGAGGGGCCAGGAGGACCCACCAUGCGCAGUUUCCAUGGUGCUGGGGUACCGGGCUACUGUCAAGCAUCUUACCUAUGGAGACGCCACCCUGAAACUGCGGUUUGUGGAACAUCAGUGAAGCUCACCUGAGUCAGGAACUUCACUUUACGUGUUUGUCAGUUGGCUUUAAGUUCUGCGCCUUACUUUUUAGGCACAACAUGCAAACCAGUAAAGAUCUUUCUACACAAUUGAAAGAGAAGAAGGAAUCACAGGAGAACGCCGUGUGCACAGGUCGGCCCUUCCCGAGAUCUGAGUUUGGUGACUGGGAUCUCUCCGGAUCUAGAAAUAAGCCACCUGGUUGUGGCCUACCAGACUGUUGUGUGAGUCUCAGGUCCUGUAACAAGAAGAGAAUACGCACACGGGAGCGCUUGGAUGUGCACAAAGAAACUGGAGUUGUCACAGAGAAAAAGGAGCCUCAGUUGAAGAAAUACCUCUGUGAGAUCCAGCUGCAAGGCAUUUUUUCAACUCGUG